AUGGAUUUACAGACUGAGGCAAGCAUCAUGAAGAUGAGCAGGCGAGUGGCUGAUACAGAGAGCUCCUCGAACAGGGAAGUAGCAUUGCUGGAGGAACUCGAAGAUGAGCUGGUACCGAAGUCAUGCAUUUGCCUUACUAUUGUGCUGAUACUGGGUGCAACAUUGUGGACCUUUGGUUCGAGAAUGGCCAGCAUGGCCAUGGAAUGUAGGAGAGGAAUGUAUUGCCUAAUGAGUUUCGGAUCCUCUGUGCUUCCUAUCACAUAUGGCUUGGCCACCUACAGAUUCUUGGGUCUAGUUCCUGAUCUGAAGCGGAGGGAACAUGAGGUCACAUCCGCAAAGUGGCGGAAGGGGGCUGCAACGUUUUUCUUCAGUCUGGUAAUCAUAUAG
rnacentral:rRNA from 1 species